rnacentral:rRNA from 1 species
AACUAACGCUGGCGGCGCGUCUUAAACAUGCAAGUCGAACGGUAGCCAUUGAGCUUGCUUAGUGGUGAGAGUGGCGAACGGGUGAGUAACACGUGAAUAAUCUGCCUCCGGGCUGGGGAUAACGCUCCGAAAGGAACGCUAAUACCGAAUAAGAUGGUAGCUACACAAGUAGUAGCCAUUAAAGGUGGGGACCGCAAGGCCUGCCGUCAUUGGAUGAGUCCGCGUACCAUUAGCUAGUUGGUGGGGUAAGAGCCUACCAAGGCGACGAUGGUUAGCUGGUCUGAGAGGAUGAUCAGCCACACUGGAACUGAGACACGGUCCAGACUCCUACGGGAGGCAGCAGUGGGGAAUAUUG